UAACAACAACAACAACAACAACAACAAAAAAAACCUUUGAUAAAAAGAACUCACCGUUGGUGAUAAAGGAGAAGACAAUGUUCCGAUUGGUCGUUGAACUCCCUUUUAUCUGAAUUGCCACUUUGACUCUUUUCAUUUGUUGGUUAGUAUCCUCUGCUGCUUUGAUUGAAACCGGUUAGUAGUUACAAAUUGAGACAUGCAAGGUUUAAAAAUGGGUUUAAGGAGCUUUGUCAAGCUUUUGAGUUUGAUUCAUUUAAAAAAAAUGAAGGAAAAUGAGAGGUUGAAGAUUGGGAGGAUGGGAGGAUGGAUGCAGGUAAUGAA
rnacentral:lncRNA from 1 species